rnacentral:rRNA from 1 species
UUCGCCCUUUUCCGGUUGAUCCUGCCGGACCUGACUGCUAUCGGACUGGUACUAAGCCAUGCGAGUCAUUGUAGCAAUACAAGGCAGACGGCUCAGUAACGCGUAGUCAACCUAACCUAUGGACGAGAAUAACCUCGGGAAACUGAGAAUAAUGCUCGAUAGAACACUAUACCUGGAAUGGUUUGUGUUCCAAAUGAUUUAUCGCCGUAGGAUGGGACUGCGGCCUAUCAGUUUGUUGGUGAGGUAAUGGCCCACCAAGACUAUUACAGGUACGGGCUCUGAGAGGAGUAGCCCGGAGAUGGGUACUGAGACACGGACCCAGGCCCUAUGGGGCGCAGCAGGCGAGAAAACUUUGCAAUGUGCG